rnacentral:rRNA from 1 species
AUGAACGCUGGCGGCGUGCCUCAUACAUGCAAGUCGCGCGAACAGACGAGGAGCUUGCUCCUCUGACGUUAGCGGCGGACGGGUGAGUAACACGUGGAUAACCUACCUAUAAGACUGGGGUAACUUCGGGAAACCGGAGCUAAUACCGGAUAAUAUAUUGAACCGCAUGGUUCAAUAGUGAAAGACGGUUUUGCUGUCACUUAUAGAUGGAUCCGCGCCGCAUUAGCUAGUUGGUAAGGUAACGGCUUACCAAGGCAACGAUGCGUAGCCGACCUGAGAGGGUGAUCGGCCACACUGGAACUGAGACACGGUCCAGACUCCUACGGGAGGCAGCAGUAGGGAAUCUUCCGCAAUGGGCGAAAGCUUGACGGAGCAACGCCGCGUGAGUGAUGAAGGUCUUCGGAUCGUAAAACUCUGUUAUUAGGGAAGAACAAAUGUGUAAGUAACUAUGCACGUCUUGACGGUACCUAAUCAGAAAGCCACGGCUAACUACGUG